CGAGCGGACAGAUGGGAGCUUGCUCCCUGAUGUUAGCGGCGGACGGGUGAGUAACACGUGGGUAACCUGCCUGUAAGACUGGGAUAACUCCGGGAAACCGGGGCUAAUACCGGAUGCUUGUUUGAACCGCAUGGUUCAAACAUAAAAGGUGGCUUCGGCUACCACUUACAGAUGGACCCGCGGCGCAUUAGCUAGUUGGUGAGGUAACGGCUCACCAAGGCAACGAUGCGUAGCCGACCUGAGAGGGUGAUCGGCCACACUGGGACUGAGACACGGCCCAGACUCCUACGGGAGGCAGCAGUAGGGAAUCUUCCGCAAUGGACGAAAGUCUGACGGAGCAACGCCGCGUGAGUGAUGAAGGUUUUCGGAUCGUAAAGCUCUGUUGUUAGGGAAGAACAAGUACCGUUCGAAUAGGGCGGUACCUUGACGGUACCUAACCAGAAAGCCACGGCUAACUACGUGCCAGCAGCCGCGGUAAUACGUAGGUGGCAAGCGUUGUCCGGAAUUAUUGGGCGUAAAGGGCUCGCAGGCGGUUCCUUAAGUCUGAUGUGAAAGCCCCCGGCUCAACCGGGGAGGGUCAUUGGAAACUGGGGAACUUGAGUGCAGAAGAGGAGAGUGGAAUUCCACGUGUAGCGGUGAAAUGCGUAGAGAUGUGGAGGAACACCAGUGGCGAA
rnacentral:rRNA from 1 species